rnacentral:misc_RNA from 1 species
CUAACAUGGAACAAGCUGUAAACAGAAGAGCUGUUUUGUUUAAAAACAUCUCUUCACUAAAUAUUUCACCAUUUGCAGUGGCUGGUUAACAUGUCAACACAAUAAUUUGCAGCAAACCAUGAAGUCAACAUAGUUUGGUCUGUCAUACAAAUAUUUACAGAAAAAUAUGAAUAACAUAACUCAAGCACCCUCAUGAAAAUCCAAACCAACUCCCAAUAUAAUAGCAAAACUGCACAAGGCUUUUCAGUUUCCACUUGCUUCAAAUUUUACGAAUUUUUUUCCAAUACAAAACUUCUGGCAUCUCAUUAAAAGUUCAUUUUUGGCAUAUAUACAAAAGGAUGCCAAAAACAUAGAUUAUGAUACUGCUAAGAGAUCAAGAAACGAGCCAAGUGAGAUUCCAUUUUACCUCUCACCAUGAAAUUGCAUUCUGAUGUUAGGUUUGAUAACCUGCCGAACUGAUCCUUGUGCCCCUAUCUAUUACUACGCUUCUAAUAGCAGCAAAAAACUAGACCUUAAGUAUUAGGCCAAUAGGACAAUGAUCACUUCCAGCAACAUCAGGAACAAUGUAUGAGUCAUGAACCUUGUCAGCUAUGGAUUCUGAGACCAGGAAGUAGUCUAGCCGCCAACCUUUGUUAGUUUUCCGCGCGCCAUGCCGAUAACCCCAAUAAGUAUAGCCAACAACAUUGGGAUGUUGUUUUCUGAAAGUAUCCACAAAACCCCUUGACAAAAGGUUUGUCCCAAAUGAUUGCCUUUCUUCAUCUGUAAAACCAGCACUUCUUCUAUUUCCAGCAGGGUUGUAAAUGUCUAUCUCUUGAUGAGCACAAUUGAGAUCACCAGUCAAAAUAACAGGCUUUGACUUUUCCAGCUCCUGCAUCAUGCAGGCAGAGGAAUAUCAGCCAACUGUAGAAAGUGUUUGUAACUGUCUUUUGUAGUUAAAAUCAAAAGCAUAUAUAUUGGAAAAAGAUUAUACCACCAAAGAGAAAUAUCAGCCUAUUCCAAAGACAAAUAUUAUAACAAUUUUUUUUAAAUAUCAAGUUGCAAAAAUCACAAGUCUAGAAACGUUUAGGAGAUUAUCUGAAAUCAACAAGGCUUUAAGGUCAAACUGAAUCACAGACGUCACUGUAAGAUUGAUGAGCAUUAAGAAUGCUAAGAGAAACUAAUUCCCCAAAUUCAAAUCUGAAUAAUCAUGCUUGAAGUAAAAAAAAAAAUUCCAGAGAUCUUACUUUACUUUCACAUUAUGUAAUACACCAUGGAUGACACAGAAAUUCAUUUGUAAUAGAAAGCAGAGAGGAAAAAAAAAUGCCUAGACAACUACCCAAUGAGGAAAUACAAACUGAACCAAUGGAGAGAAAAGCAUCUGAUCAUUGAUGUAAAACUAACAUUAAAAGAAAUUAAGAAACAUGUAUAUUCUGCUUACUUUCAUGUAGUUGCUAAGAGAAGAAUCCCAUUGUGUAACCCUGUAUGACUAUAAUUAAAACAGAGCCCUUAGAAAUGAGAGAUUAUGAUGAUAAAAUACAUUAAAUAAAAUAAUCUAAGUAAAUAAUGCAAGAUGGCUGAGGUCAAUUACCAGUCUUUUCAAGCCAUCUCCAGAGUUGGGAACAUAGGCAUUAAUUAAAUAGAAUGAAUCAAAUUCUGCUGUAACAAGUCUUCCCUCGCUAUCAUGAUCUGGUAUGCCUAGACCAUAGCUCACGGAAAGUGGCUUUAUCUGUUACAAAAGUGACAACACUAACAAGCCAUUGACAAGCAAAACUACUGCAUAAACAAAGGAACAGUUGCUUAUCUUAUUAACUCCCAAUUAUAUUGGUAUUGCUACAGGGUCCAUUGACUGUUCUUUGUUUAACAAAGAGAGUGCCUAAAGGCCUACGUUGUUUAAAGAACAAUUAAAAUAGAAUGAAAUGAGAUUUUAUGAAAUGGAAGAAAUAUUCAGUAGUGCAAAUAGAGAUCUACGUUUUUAACAACAAUUUCAAUGAUGAUAAGCAAAUAUUCGCUGGAAUAACUACAAGUAAUAUAGCCACCUCACUAUAUGGUGAAUGAGUGGAUUGGCGAAAUUCAGCUUGAUUUAUCAUCCAAAAUGAAUUCAAUAUAUGGUGGACAGUGGAGAAUAACUGAAUUAUAAAUGUCCAUCAAUGAAAUAACACCAUGUAUAAGGUUCUAAAGACGCUAAGAAGACUGCCUUCGGGACCUGGUUAUUGGACUUGUGAUUCACUGCUUACAGACAAGUAUAAGAAAGCAUGAAAAACAUAGAAUCAAAUCCCAAUGCAAACAACUCUCAUAUGGAUAAGGCAAGUUAUUGCAUUUAAUCUGCACUGUAGCCUAGACCAAAGGGGAUUCCCAAUGCACCAGAAAUGAAGAGAGAGAGAGAAAGAGAGAGUUUUCUUCUCAAAAAAGGAUAAGCUACCCGAGAGACAAUUGCAGUGCCUGAAUAACCAAGUUUGGAAUGACUACAUGUCCAGAAGCUAUUCUCGUACCCAUCUAUCAGACACUGUUUGAUAGACUCCACAUCCUUCUCCUGUAGUUUGGUCUCUUGGAAGCACAACACAUCAAAAUUUUCUCUUUGGGCAAGUUCAACAGCAGAGAAUCCCUCUGACUUUAACAAUGCUUUUAACCCAUUGACAUUCCAAGACAUUAGCUUCACAAACUUUGCAUCCUCAGCAAGAGGCAGAGGCCUCAUGGUUCUGGGAUUAUAUGGAAUCCAACAUUUCUGAGGCUUCUUGUGAGCAAGAAUUGUCCAGGGUUCAGCUUGAGGUAUGGUAACUGAGACUUCAGCCGUUUUAGUUGAGAGUUUCUCUUUUGUUGUGAUAAUUUCAGCAUCAACUUUGACUGUUUCAUCCUUGGCAGGGAAUUGUUUAACCCUUCUCUUUAUCUGUUUAAAACUUGAAACCUCUGAAACAGUAUUGAUGGUUUCAUCCGGUACAUUACCAGCUUUAUUUUGCAGUGAAAUAUUUUCUGUAAAAAUAGAGGAUAUAUGUUCUUCUGCUUGCUGAGAGCCUUGACCAUCCAAGUUCUUGACCACAAAAUGCUUUAAUGCAGCUACAAGGUCAGAUUUACGACCUUUGGCAGGGAUACCAACAUUCCUCAAUGUUGUUCUAAGUUCUUGAACUGUCAUUGCCUCAAUUUUUGAAGGAUCAUCCUUGAUACUUUGAAUUUCAACUGACUGAAUUUUAGGAUAAUUUUCCUUGACAACAAUACCUUCAGAAUUGGGGAUUGCAAGCUCUAACCCUUUCAGUUUCUUAUUCUUCUUUUCCUCAACGAUUGAGGAUGAGUGUGCUGAUGGAUUCGAAAGCGGUCGUUUAGAACUCAUUCUUCCCACUUUCAAAGAAACUAAUGAUUCAGUAGUCAACUGUCUUGGUCUUGCUGCAAAGCUAACAAAAAUCAGUCACGUCUGCAUUUCCUUUUUAUCCAACAGAUAUGAAAAAAAGCCAAGAAAAAUGAAACUGAAAAGAAAAAAUCUUCAAUUUCCGAUAGGAAAAUUACCAAAAAUUUUGACUUUAAUAUGAAACAAUGGCUAACUAAAGCUUUACUACUUCAAAUGCCGAGCUUUCGCAAUUAAAAGGAUAGACAAAUGGCCCCUACACCCCCCAAUCCAAAAAAGAAAAAUGUAAAAAUUCCCAUUUGAAAUACGAAGUAAAUGUAUGGGAAAAAUAAGAUUAGUGUUGAUUUCAGAUGAAAGCAUUCACUAUCAGGACACUCUUUUGCCCCUAAUUUUCCAGGUGACCAAACAGAAAUUUGAUAAAAAGAAAAGCGUGAUACACAAACCUGGAGAGAUUAAGGAAGGCCUUGAAACCUAAUUGCAGUGCGUGGUUAUUCAUUUAUCGAGUAACCGACUAAGACUGUCACGAAGCUUAGCUCAAGGGAGAAAAAAUUUAGAACCAUGUGAUUUUUUUUUUUUUUAAAUUCCUUGAAAAUGCAAUCCAAGUUGCUUGGUUUUGAUGAUUACAUUAUUGUUGGCCACAAUACUCUUGUCUGAUAAUCCCAUUCAUGUAGUUACCAACAAACACACAACAUA